GUAGAUUCACAAAUUCACGUGUACAGAAAACCAAAACUGUGGAUGUUCCCGAAUAUAUAAAACACAUUCUAUCAGAUAUUUAGGUGUCAUGAUCGACCAAUUUCUACGCUGGAAUGAUCACAUAGAUCACAUAGUGAAAAAACUCCGCAAACUGAUUCGGAAAUUUUACCAACUGAGACGUAUCCUAAGUAGAGAUGCAUUACUGACGGUGUACGGUGCCUUGGUGGAGUCGAUGAUUAGAUACUGCAUCUCAGUAUGGGGUGGCUUAUCCAAAACAUCACCACAUUAUCUUGAUGUUAUACAAAAUACAUUGAUCAAAAUCGCAUUGAAAAAGGAUAGGAGAUAUUCUACAGAGUUACUUUAUGAACAAAGUGGUUUGUUCAAAGUCAGAAAAUUAUACGCUCAUCAAUGUUUAUCAUGGAUUUGUAGGAACCCCAUUAACAGCAUUUCACAUAAAUAUAAUACGCGAAUGACCUCCAACCAAGCAAUUACCAUACCACGCUGUAGAUUGAGUCAUAACUAGAAAUUUGUGACAUAUUUUGGCCCGAAAUUAUACAAUAAGCUACCACUCCAUUUGAAGAAUAUUAAUAAUUAUCAUAAAUUGAAGAAGGAACUGAUAGUUUUCAUCAGAAAUCAUUAUGAUCAAUUGCAGGAUAUCUUUGAGAAUGUUUAAGUUAAAUUACCUGCUCUCUCUUUCUCUCUUCUUAUUUCCUCACUAUAGCCAUCAUUCUCCAACUGCGGUUUUUAACCUAGUGAGGUGGAUAGUAUUAUGUAACCAAACGACCUAUUUUAGUUUUUUCUUUUUUUGUAUCUAUUUUAUUAUACAUUAUAUAACACACCUUAUAUCAGUCUGUAGCCACGACACAAGCCUAGCUUAGGUGGUUACAGAUUGUGUAAUAUAUGAUUAUAUGAUAAAACAUUUGAAUUGUAAAUCGUAAUUGAAUUGUAAAUCGCACGGAAAACAAAUCAUGUAACUGAAUAAUUGAUCGACAUGAAAAUUGAAUAAAAAUUACUAAAAUUGAAUAAAAAUAUUACUAUUUUUAUCAAUACACCAUACAAGUUAGAAAAUGGUAGCUUUUUAUUAAUGGAAGUACAUCCAGAUACGAUUAUUUUGAAUGAAUAUCCAGCUUUCUACUCUGAAAAAUCAAUACCGUUAUAUUCUACGGUAACAUGUAAGGACAAAGGAAAAAAGUAUAGGUGCGGAUACGUUAUUGGAUCACACGAAAACUUUCAUCCCAUUGUUCCAUUCAAAAGCCGAUUAAUGUGCGGACAUCAUAGCAUUGAACAAUUCCAUAAACCAUCCAUAACUUACAGAGGUUUGUGGUGGACAACUGUAGAAGAUUUUUAUGAAUAUGCAAAUAUUAAUCUCAAAAAAUAUUUACCUUUACCAGAAAUUUGUUAUGUAUACUUAUUGUCAUCUGAAAAAGAUGAAUUUUUGAAAAUAACCCAUACAUUGUGAAUACCUACUAAUUAAUAAACGUUAAUAAAUUACGUA